rnacentral:rRNA from 1 species
GAUGAACGCUAGCGGCAGGCUUAACACAUGCAAGUCGAGGGGUAACAGGGAGAAGCUUGCUUUUCCGCUGACGACCGGCGCACGGGUGCGUAACGCGUAUAGAACCUACCUUUUACAGAGGAAUAGCCCAGAGAAAUUUGGAUUAAUGCCUCAUAGUAUUAUAGAAUGGCAUCAUUUUAUAAUUAAACAUUUAUGGGUAAAAGAUGGCUAUGCGUUCUAUUAGCUAGUUGGUAAGGUAACGGCUUACCAAGGCUACGAUAGAUAGGGGUCCUGAGAGGGAGAUCCCCCACACUGGUACUGAGACACGGACCAGACUCCUACGGGAGGCAGCAGUGAGGAAUAUUGGACAAUGGAGGCAACUCUGAUCCAGCCAUGCCGCGUGCAGGAAGACGGCCCUAUGGGUUGUAAACUGCUUUUAUAUAGGAAGAAACCUUUCCACGUGUGGAAAGCUGACGGUACUAUAAGAAUAAGCACCGGCUAACUCCGUGCCAGCAGCCGCGGUAAUACGGAGGGUGCAAGCGUUAUCCGGAAUCAUUGGGUUUAAAGGGUCCGUAGGCGGACUAAUAAGUCAGGGGUGAAAUCCAACAGCUUAACUGUUGAACUGCCUUUGAUACUGUUAGUCUUGAAUUAUAUGGAAGUAGAUAGAAUGUGUAGUGUAGCGGUGAAAUGCUUAGAGAUUACACAGAAUACCG